AAUCCCAGCACUUUGGGAGGCAAAGGCAGGAGGAUCACUUGAGCCCAGGAGUGAGGAACUGGAGCACCCCUCAGGCUGCAUCUGGAGAAGCAUCCUGGAACUUUCUACUUAGCAGCUCAGUUACGUGUGUGGCCGUCUGGAUUGAAUAAAAACCCUGUUUCUUUCUUAUUAAGGCAGCUUUGACCCCCCAUUAUGAUUUCAUCCUUAACUCAACAAAUCAGCAUUCCCCAUUCCCUAAACCCUUGCCCACCAAACUAUUCUUGAAGAUAGCCUCCAAGCUUUCAGGGAGGCUGACUUGAGUAAUUAACUCCCCUUCUUCCACUUGGUGAACCUUGCAUUUGUAAACUAUAUUUUGAAAAUGCUUUUCACCAUUUUUAGAUUCAUUUUUCAAAAGUUCCAAUCAAAUGCUUUUUCCACUCCUAUGAUAUUAAAAUUAUGAAUAGACUUUAUUUUUCAGAGCAGUUUUAGGUUUACAGAAAAAAUGAGCAGAAACUAGAGGGAGUUCUCAUAUACUCCCUCCUCCCCAUUAUUAAUAUCUUGCAUUGAUGUACAUUUGUUAUGAUUGAUGAACCAGUCAUGAUUUUUUAU
rnacentral:lncRNA from 1 species